UUUGAUCUUUCCUAACGGUAUACUUACUGAAACCUUAGCAAACUAGGUAAAAUGGCGAAUAUUUUAUACUAGUUGACUGCACGACUCUAAACAAUAGCAGUCUCUCACUUUUUAAAUCGCGAUGAUUUUAAAUUGAGAUGCUGGUUAGCUAUUUGUAGCUGGCAACACCAUUAGUCUGCGGGAACAUUUUCUAAAAUAACCUGCAGCUGGUCCUCUGAACAUCAGAAGGCUGGUCCACAGACUAAGUAUUGGUGGGUACUGUAACUGCAGUAUUUCAGAUAUAGCCGUGUCCUUAGAGUUAAUAGUUUCUGAGGAUUCUUGUACUCCUGAUACAUGUUCUAAUAUCACGUUCCGUAGGUGAACCUGCGGAAGGAUCAUUA
rnacentral:rRNA from 1 species